GAUGAACGCUAGCGACAGGCCUAACACAUGCAAGUCGAGGGGCAGCAUGAAAUUAGCUUGCUAAUUUUGAUGGCGACCGGAGCACGGGUGAGUAACACGUAUGAAACCUGCGUGUAAGCGGGGGAUAACCCGGAGAAAUCCGGACUACUACCGCAUAGUAACACAAUUUCCCCUGUUAUGGUGGUUAAAGAUUAAUUGCUUACAGAGGGGCAUGCGUCGGAUUAGCUAGUUGGGGGGGUAACGGCCCACCAAGGGAACGAUCAGUAGGGGUUGUGAGAGGAAGGUCCCCCACAUGGGAAGUGAGACACGGUCCAAACUCCUACGGGAGGCAGCAGUGAGGAAUAUUGGUCAAUGGACGAGAGUCUGAACCAGCCAUGUCGCGUGAAGGAUGACUGUCCUAUGGAUUGUAAGCUUCUUUUAUAUGGGAAUAAAGUGAGAAACGUGUUUCUUUUUGUAUGUACCAUAUGAAUAAGCAUCGGCUAACUCCGUGCCAGCCGCCGCCGUAAUAC
rnacentral:rRNA from 1 species